rnacentral:rRNA from 1 species
ACGAACGCUGGCGGCGUGCCUCAUACAUGCAAGUCGCGCCAAGUUUUUCUGGUGCUUGCACCGGAAAAACUUAGCGGCCAACGGGUGAGUAACACGUAAGAGCCUGCCUCAUAGACUGGGACAACUAUUGGAAACGAUAGCUUAUACCGGAUAAUAGCAUUAACUGCAUGGUUGAUGUUUAAAAGUUGGUUUUGCUAACACUAUGAGAUGGCUUUGCGGUGCAUUAGCUAGUUGGUGGGGUAAAGGCCUACCAAGGCGACGAUGCAUAGCCGACCUGAGAGGGUGAUCGGCCACACUGGGACUGAGACACGGCCCAGACUCCUACGGGAGGCAGCAGUAGGGAAUCUUCCGCAAUGGGCGAAAGCCUGACGGAGCAACGCCGCGUGAGUGAAGAAGGAUUUCGGUUCGUAAAGCUCUGUUGUUAGGGAAGAAUGAUUUUGUAGUAACUAUACACAGUAGAGACGGUACCUAACCAGAAAGCCACGGCUAACUACGUG